rnacentral:rRNA from 1 species
GACGAACGCUGGCGGCGUGCUUAACACAUGCAAGUCGAGCGGUAAGGCCCUUUCGGGGGUACACGAGCGGCGAACGGGUGAGUAACACGUGAGCAACCUGCCCUUCUCUUUGGAAUAAGCGUUGGAAACGACGUCUAAUGCCGAAUAUGACCCCCUGUCGCAUGGUGGGGGGUGGAAAGCUCUGGCGGAGAAGGAUGGGCUCGCGGCCUAUCAGCUGGUUGGUGGGGGUAAUGGCCCACCAAGGCGACGACGGGUAGCCGGCCUGAGGGGGUGACCGGCCACACUGGGACUGAGACACGGCCACGACUCCUACGGGAGGCAGCAGUGGGGAAUAUUGGACAAUGGGCGAAAGCCUGAUCCAGCAACGCCGCGUGAGGGAUGACGGCCUUCGGGUUGUAAACCUCUUUCAGCAGGGACGAAGCGAGAGUGACGGUACCUGCAGAAGAAGGACCGGCCAACUACGUGCCAGCCGCCGCUGUAACAC